AAUUGUUCCUAAUCUAGUUGGGGUUAACUAAUUCGGCUCCAACUUUAAAAAACUCGCUCAAUUGCUGGAAACCCUAACGUAAAGGCGAGGGCAAUCAGCAGCCAGUGGUUAUGGCGACAUAAUCGAAUGGUUCAGAGACUUGUAUCAUGUUGGCAGACUAAGAUACAGAAUUAUUCCUCAUCCAUUUUGAGGUAAAGAGGAAUAAUUAAUACGGUGAGCCUACAGUAGAGACUUCAUAUCUCGAUGACUGUAGAGAAGGUAUAGUCCACUCUUUCAGGAAACUGGGAG
rnacentral:ncRNA from 2 species